UAUAAAGUGUUGUAAAAAGCAUAAUGCUUUUUGGUAGCAUAAGAGGUAGAUUACCCUUUAUAA
rnacentral:tRNA from 1 species